GAUGAAGAACGUAGUGAAAUGCGAUACGUAAUGUGAAUUGCAGAAUUCAGUGAAUCAUCGAAUCUUUGAACGCACCUUGCGCCCUUUGGCCAUUCCGAAGGGCAUGCCUGUUUGAGUAUCAUGAACACCUCAACUCUUCAUGGUUUUCCAUGAUGAGCUUGGACUUUGGGGGUCUUGCUGGCCUGUGGGUCGGCUCCUCUCAAAUGAAUCAGCUUGCCGGUUUUUGGUGGGCAUCACAGGUGUGAUAACUCUCUACGCUUGUGGUUUUCCACCAGGGUAACCUUCAGCAGUGGAGGUUCACUGGAGCUUACAAAUGUCUCUCCUCUGUGAGGACAGCCCUUUGAAUGUUUGAUCUCAAAUCAGGUAGGACUACCCGCUGAACUUAAGCAUAUCAAUAAGCGGAGGA
rnacentral:misc_RNA from 1 species